GUUUAUUUAGUUUUAUUACAAUGAUGAUGUGUUCAUUUAAAGAAAUCCAGGAAUUUUUUUUAUCACUUUGAUAAUUGCUUAGUGAUAGCUCACUGUGGUUAUAAUUUUCAUUUCAUGUGUUUAGCAGUUGUUUGGACAUCCUCUUUGGUGAACUGCCUGCUUAGUCUGUCUAUUUUUCUGUUGCACUGUCUGUUUUUCAUAUUGACUUAGAGGAGAUUUUAAAUAUACUCUGGAUGAAUCCUUUGCCAAAUAUGGAGUGAAAAUAUCUCCUUUCCCUCCCUGGCUUGCCUUUUCAUUGUCAGUGGUGACUUCUCAUGGAAUAGCAAUUCUUAACCUUAAUGUAGUUGAUAUAUUUGGGAAUCGUUGCCUGUUUUAAGGUCAUAAAGAUAUCCUGUUGUUUCCUUUCAAAAGUCGUUUAUCUUCCCUUUUACAUUUCAGCCUACCAUAUGUCUAAAAUCAUCUUUUAUGUGCAGUUUGAGGUAGAGGGUCAAACUUCUUUUAAAUUUAUAUAUCUAAUUGAUCCAUUAUCAAUUAUUUAAAAGACCAUUUUCUCUUCCAUAUAAUGUGAAUUCUAAUGAGUUCAUGGCAUUCCAUCAUGUGGCUGUGCUACUUAACCAGUUGAGAGAAAAUUUUAUUUUGAUCAUUUUUGUAUAUUUUUUAAAAUUUAUUUGCUUUCAGAUGAGUUUCUGAAAAGAAGACCUUACUGGAAUGCGUGCUAAGGCCAGUGAUGGUGAACCUUUCAGAGCUUUCAGAGUUACAAACAGCCCACUGCGGCACCCAUGCCCUAGGUUCACCACUGCUGUGAUAGAACAUCUUCCAUUACGGUCUUGAUGGUCUUCUGGGUGCUACGAGAAGCAAGGACUUUCUAUGAUCAACAUCUUGGAAGCCCAAUAGAACAGAGGAUGAAAGUGAAGUAAAUUUGACUCUACCAAAUUAUCUGUAUGAGGAAGCUGAGAUACCAGUGGAUGACACUGAUAGCCCUUAGACUUCUGCCCUCCAAUAUGGGAGUUGCUGGCCACAAGUGCCUGAUGAGCACUUGAAACUUGCCUAAUUUUGUCAUAUACUCUCUAAGCGCAAAACGUUUACUAGGUUUCAAAGACAAUUAAAAAAUAUAAAAUUACUGCCAGACAUGGUGGCACACACCUGUAAUCCCAGCACUUGAGAGGAUGAGGCAGGAGAAUCCUGUGAGUUCAAGACCAGCCUGGACUACAUAGUGAGUUCACCCAGCCUGGAAUCCAUAGAGAGAUCCUGUCUCAAAAAAACAAAACAAAACACUGUAAAAUAACCCAC
rnacentral:lncRNA from 1 species